rnacentral:rRNA from 1 species
UCAACUUGAGAGUUUGAUCCUGGCUCAGAACGAACGCUGGCGGCAGGCUUAACACAUGCAAGUCGAGCGCCCCGCAAGGGGAGCGGCAGACGGGUGAGUAACGCGUGGGAAUCUAC